rnacentral:rRNA from 1 species
CCUACGGGAGGCAGCAGUGAGGAAUAUUGGUCAAUGGCCGUAAGGCUGAACCAGCCAAGUAGCGUGAGGGAAGACUGCCCUAUUGGUUGUAAACCUCUUUUAUGCGGGGAUAAAGGGGGCCACGUGUGGAGGUUUGCAGGUACCGCAUGAAUAAGGACCGGCUAAUUCCGUGCCAGCAGCCGCGGUAAUACGGAAGGUCCGGGCGUUAUCCGGAUUUAUUGGGUUUAAAGGGAGCGUAGGCCGGUCUUUAAGCGUGCCGUGAAAUUUUGUGGCUCAACCAUGAGAGGGCGGCGCGAACUGGCGACCUUGAUUGCGCGUCAGGCAGGCUGACUUCGUGGUGUCGCGG